GGGGUGUUAGUAAAACCAUUACAUAGCCUUGUCAAGGCUAAAUCAUAGGUGAAAAUCCCAUACACCCCC
rnacentral:tRNA from 1 species